GAGGGGAUAGCUCAGUGGUAGAGCUCGUGCUUGGCAUAUACGAGGUCCUGGGUUCAAUCCCUAGCACUGCCA
rnacentral:tRNA from 1 species